CAUCAAAACUGUAAGAAUUAUUUCUAAUAUAUACUGGGCCACAACCUCAUCUUUUCCUUUCAUAUUAAUGGACCUACAAAACAGACUCAACCGGUUCGAACAGCCAGGCUUUGAUUCCCUUUACAUGCAGGUUCCCUCAGGUUACAGAGCUGGCAUAUCUUGUUCUGCAUCACAUCUGCUCUGCAGUGCCUGACUAUCAGAGAGCCCUUGUUCUGGCUGCCAGAUUAGUCCCUUUGGGUUAGCUGCUGCAGGAAACAAAGUAGAAUUUUAAGUUAUGAAAAGGCAUGCUUUGGCUCCACUAGUUGAGAAGUUGUAAGGAUGGUUGACAGCUGACAUAUUCUACCUCCCUCGUGUUGAUCUCUCUUGCAGUACUCUCUGGAAAAAAAAACAAAAAGGCAACAUCAAAUAGGAGGAAAAAAAUAAAAACAAGGAGCCCAGUAUGAAACUUAUUUAUGUACUCAAGAUGGAAACGAACCCCAGAAGACUACAAACUCCUUCCUUGUCAUGGGAAUCCAUGGAACCACCACCAACCUGGAACUCUGGAACCAGAGACAAAACAUUCAGGUCAGCAUGUGAUAGCUCUCUAAUCUGCUAAACCCUACACACCGAGUACUUUCAGAGCUUGUACUUGAACUUUGAAGUCAGCCCACUCUGAUGGUCCAUUUCUGCCCAUGUAUUCUAUCACUCUUAAUGGUCUCACGUAUGCCUGCUAUGCUUAACACUUACAGGAUUUGUUUUGUGGAGAACUUUCAUGCAGAAUCUUUUAUUCUACCUCUGUCUUGAUAUUGCAGGAAAAUUAAACAGGCAGGAGAGCUCUUCUGUGGUGCUCAACUGUUAGUUAAGCUAUAUUUGAAACAU
rnacentral:lncRNA from 1 species